rnacentral:rRNA from 1 species
GACGAACGCUGGCGGCGUGCUUAACACAUGCAAGUCGAGCGGAAAGGCCCUGCUUUUGUGGGGUGCUCGAGUGGCGAACGGGUGAGUAACACGUGAGUAACCUGCCCUUGACUUUGGGAUAACUUCAGGAAACUGGGGCUAAUACCGGAUAGGAGCUCCUGCUGCAUGGUGGGGGUUGGAAAGUUUCGGCGGUUGGGGAUGGACUCGCGGCUUAUCAGCUUGUUGGUGGGGUAGUGGCUUACCAAGGCUUUGACGGGUAGCCGGCCUGAGAGGGUGACCGGCCACAUUGGGACUGAGAUACGGCCCAGACUCCUACGGGAGGCAGCAGUGGGGAAUAUUGCACAAUGGGCGGAAGCCUGAUGCAGCAACGCCGCGUGCGGGAUGACGGCCUUCGGGUUGUAAACCGCUUUGGCCUGUGACGAAGCGUGAGUGACGGUAAUGGGUAAAGAAGCACCGGCUAACUACGUG